AUUCACUGAAUAUGACUCAGUUUUAUUUAAUAAAUUUGUUUAUUAUUUUGGCCAAAUUUUAUAUCCACACAUCAAAUUUUUAAAGCAAGAAGCCAAACUUUUCAGAGCUGAUUGUCCAUAUCAAACAUUUUUCUACAUCUGAAUAUACAAACAGAAAAGCUGUUAAAACUUAAGACUCCUGUGAGCAUUCAAAUAUAUUUAUUUUCUUUUAUUACAGCUUUUAAUCCCUCUGGCGUGUUUAUAGACACCAGUUGUGUACACAAGGUACUGUAAACUCGUCUCAGUAAAGCUGAUUAAAAAUCACUCAAAAGAAUCACUCCUAUAAUAAAGUUUAUUUUACUAUGACUUUAAACGACUACCAAACCACACAUACUUGAACUUUAUUGUCAUCAUCUCUGUCAACAAAACUGCAGUUUCAUCUCCAGUCAGAUGCCAAUAACGAUAUAAAAGUAGCAACCAGUGUUGGGCAAACUAAGCUUCAUUUAUACUCCCAAGCGGACAGCUGCAGACAUAACGGACGGGUAGUUGUCCUGUUUAUACUACCUUCUAGGGUCCGCUUGGAGGACAUGUUCCACACAUGCGCAAUAGAUCCCCGUCUACAGGAACACAGCGUUGUGACCGCGCGGACACAACAAAUUGCACGUACGCGGAUGUCCUCACAGAGCCUACGCGUAUACUCUCUGAUGACGAAAUUUACAUCAUGCGGACCCUAGCGGACCCUCACAGACACGGAUAGUAUAACUUCAACAUUACUGAAAAUUAGUAAUUAGUUACAGUUACUGGUUACUUCUCUUAAAAAGUAACUAAAUUACUUACCAGUUACUGCGUAUAAAAAGUAACUAGUUACUAAGGAAAGUAACUUUUACAUUACUUAAAGCUGAAAUUAUACUUUCCAAGUCUGCGCGGGUUUGCAAGGGUUUGCUAGGGUCCACAUGACGUCAUCAUCAGAGUGUGUAUGCGUAGGCUCUGUGAGGACAUCCGUGUACGUGCAAUUUGUUGUGUCACAACACAGUGUUUCUGUAGACACCACAGACAGUUAGUUGUUCUGUUAAUACUACUUUCAGGAGUCCGCUUGGAGGACACGUUCCACACAUGCGCAGUAGAUCGCCGUCUACAAGGAGACAGCGUUGUUUGCAGAAGAAAGGCUGAACUACUGUAACUUCCUCUACCUACCGAAGGCAUCUAUCAAGUUGUUAUUUCCUGUUUUCAACUUCCAUCCACGACGCUGCUGCCUGCUUAUUAACAAGGUCCAAGAAACGAGACCACAUCACCUUUAUCCUGGCAUCCGUAGACUGGCUCCCCGCUCGUUUAAGGCUCCACCAGACCCUGAAGAUUCACCACAAGACUCACUUUUAUUCUCCGGCUUUUAAUUGUGUUUAAUCUGUUCUUAUUUCUAUCUGAUUUCUGUGUGUGUGUUUAGACUUGUUUCUAUUUUAAUCUUGCUUUAUUUUCACAUCUGUUAUGCACAUAUAUGUCCUUAUUGCUUGUAUGCGUUUACAGACAUAUGGUUUUAAAGUGCUAUAUAAAUAAAGUAAAGUUUAAUAAGCUUUACAGUUAGAGAAGAAAAACCUUUUCCACGCUAUUCUGACUCAACAUGUUUUAACUUUAUUGAAGCUACAUGUUUCUCAAUCUGACGGCAUUACACUGCAUUUUUUUCUUACAGCUGCAACAUCACAUUAAACAGAAAUAUUCUACAUUUCGUACGCACAAAAAUUCAGCCUGUAACAUUUGAUAUAUUAGUAAACUCUUCUGUUUCAAUUCAAAAUACACCUAAACCAGCAGUGUGUCGUGCAGUUUGGAGUUUGAAGUUAACCAUUAAUUUAACUUUUUUUUUUUUUUUUAAACAUUUCUCACUGUGUAGCAUCUACAGCUUUUAAAGCACACAGUGACUUUAGACUCUUGUUAUCUAACAGCACCUGUUGUUAUUUUGGCCACUUCAGUCAGAUACAAAAAUCUCUCUCCGCAGUCUUCCUCUGACUAGUCCGAACUCUUUCUAGACAAUCAUUUAUUUGAGCUGAGGAUGACUGACAUGUAUUAAAAACUAUGAAGCAAGGCCCGGAUAUAUUUACCAUAUUUAUAAAUAACACAUCAGCAUGGAGCCACAGAGGAUCCCUCCCUCGUCACCGUGAGGCAAAGAUCCAGCUGGCAGGUAGGGCGGGGUGACGUCAGCUCGGGAAAAAACACGCAGACAGGUACUUGUGAAUUCCUGAGUUAUGAAGGAACAAAUAUUCCUUAUCUGUUGUUCACAGAUCAUGGGGAUGACAGGAGCCAAGAAACACUUAUAAACCAAGAAAGAAUAAUAAGCAAACACUUAAAGAAUAGCAUGUUUGGCCUUCUAGGAUGAAUUUACAAAACAAAGAGGCUGUGAGUGUUUCCCCUUCAAGGCGAGACAAGUGCUGACACACCUUCCCUCAGGAAUGUGAGAGAAGACAGCAGGAAAAGGGUUGUAAAAGCGUCUGUGAUAUUGUUACUAAUAAUAUAGAUAGACAGAAACUGCGAUAACAAGGAGCAGUAUGUGACAACUACUGUAGCCGAGUGAACUGAAGUGUUUUACAGGCGUCUGUGUGGGAGGAAAAGCCAAGAGGAGAGGGAAAGAUCUGAGCAGUAAAUGGGCGUGUAAGUUUCACAGGGAGUUUCACUCCCGGCUCUCUUAGUCAUGUCAUUCAGCAGCUUAGACAGCAAAGAGGAGCAGGUCGGCUUCAGAGCUCUUAUCUGUUGAGACUCAACGACUACUACGAGGACAAACGUCAGGUUUGGAUGACCACGUGUGGACGUUUCAACCAAAGCUUUCACACCUAAAAGGAAGAAGAUUUAAACUAGAAGAAGACCGUUUAUAAGAAGAAGAAGAAGAAGACACCUGCCGACUAUCUGAUCAAGACUUUAAAAUCCGAGGGAGUGUUCAAAGCCUUUAUAUUUGGAUCAGAAAUGUCUAACUCAUCUCAGACAAAUAUAACAGUGGAUGAAGAGGCCCCGUUGAACACUGUUGCAGGAUCAGGUGAAGCAAAAAAUAAUGAUACUUGCCAUCAAGUGAUCAGCAUCGCCGCCGCGUCCUGCUGCAGCGACAAACAUCACAGGAAGCUGGCCGUCUGCAGCAUCGUCUGCGGGAUCUCCUGCAUCGGGAUCAAGGCUUUGAUAAAUUCAGUCAAGGCUCAACGAGAACCAGAUCAAGCCGCAGCUGAGAAGUAUACACGACGGGCAAAGAAGCUCGGCAUCAUCUCCAUCGCCACAUGGGUUUCCAUUCUGGUUUUAACGCCUGUGUUGAUGAUACUGAUCUCAUAUCUCAUCACUCUGAUAGACUGAUGGACUUUUAAAAACAGCUCCACAGACAGAGGAUAAAACCAGCAUCGUCUGAUUUUGGAUGGUUGUGUUACCGACGCAGCGGUCGGUACGAAGCUGCUUAUCAACGACUACAAACCACGAAGAAGCUUUUAGUUAC